GAUGAACGCUGGCGGCGUGCCUAAUACAUGCAAGUCGAACGAAACUUCUUUAUCACCGAGUGCUUGCACUCACCGAUAAAGAGUUGAGUGGCGAACGGGUGAGUAACACGUGGGCAACCUGCCCAAAAGAGGGGGAUAACACUUGGAAACAGGUGCUAAUACCGCAUAACCAUAGUUACCGCAUGGUAACUAUGUAAAAGGUGGCUAUACUACCGCUUUUGGAUGGGCCCGCGGCGCAUUAGCUAGUUGGUAGGGUAAAGGCUUACCAAGGCAAUGAUGCGUAGCCGAAUUGAGAGGUUGAGCGGCCACAUUGGGACUGAGACACGGCCCAAACUCCUACGGGAGGCAGCAGUAGGGAAUCUUCCACAAAGGGCGAAAGCCUGAUGGAGCAACGCCGCGUGGGUGAAGAAGGUCUUCGGAUCGUAAAACCCUGUUGUUAGAGAAGAAAGUGCGUGAGAGUAACUGUUCACGUUUCGACGGUAUCUAACCAGAAAGCCACUGCUAACUACGUG
rnacentral:rRNA from 1 species